AUUCAGUAUCACCUGUAGUUCACAGAAUCAAGUUACAAAACAUUAUCUCCUGUAACAAAAAAAAAAGGAAAUUGUUUUGUAACUUGAUUCUGUGAACUACAAGUGGUACA
rnacentral:pre_miRNA from 1 species